rnacentral:rRNA from 2 species
UAAAUCCCGCAACGAGCGCAACCCUCGCUCUUAGUUGCCAUCAUUCAGUUGGNCACUCUAAGGGGACUGCCGGUGAUAAGCUGGAGGAAGGUGGGGAUGACGUCAAGUCCUCAUGGCCCUUACGGGCUGGGCUACACACGUGCUACAAUGGUGGUGACAGUGGGCAGCGAGACCGCGAGGUUGAGCUAAUCUCCAAAAACCAUCUCAGUUCGGAUUGCACUCUGCAACUCGGGUGCAUGAAGUUGGAAUCGCUAGUAAUCGUGGAUCAGCAUGCCACGGUGAAUACGUUCCCGGGCCUUGUACACACCGCCCGUCACACCAUGGGAGUUGGCUUUACCCGAAGGUGCUGUGUAACCGCAAGGAGGCA